UGGUGAAGACAACCUGAAACCUGAUGGAGGCU
rnacentral:piRNA from 1 species